rnacentral:rRNA from 1 species
GACGAACGCUGGCGGCGUGCUUAACACAUGCAAGUCGAGCGGUAAGGCCCUUUCGGGGGUACACGAGCGGCGAACGGGUGAGUAACACGUGGGUGACCUGCCCUCAGCUCUGGGAUAAGCCCGGGGAAACUGGGUCUAAUACCGGAUAUGACUCCAUGACGCAUGUUGUGGGGUGGAAAGCCUUGUGCGGCUGAGGAUGGGCCCGCGGCCUAUCAGCUUGUUGGUGGGGUNAUGGCCUACCAAGGCGACGACGGUAGCCGGCCUGAGAGGGCGACCGGCCACACUGGGACUGAGAUACGGCCCAGACUCCUACGGGAGGCAGCAGUGGGGAAUCUUGCGCAAUGGGCGAAAGCCUGACGCAGCGACGCCGCGUGAGGGAUGACGGCCU